rnacentral:tRNA from 1 species
GCCGAAGUGGCGGAACCGGUAGACGCGCCGGACUCAAAAUCCGGUGGCCUUCGGGUCGUGUGGGUUCGAGUCCCACCUUCGGCA